AUUGAACGCUGGCGGCAGGCCUAACACAUGCAAGUCGAGCGGAUGAAGGGAGCUUGCUCCUGGAUUCAGCGGCGGACGGGUGAGUAAUGCCUAGGAAUCUGCCUGGUAGUGGGGGAUAACGUCCGGAAACGGGCGCUAAUACCGCAUACGUCCUGAGGGAGAAAGUGGGGGAUCUUCGGAACUCACGCUAUCAGAUGAGCCUAGGUCGGAUUAGCUAGUUGGUGGGGUAAAGGCCUACCAAGGCGACGAUCCGUAACUGGUCUGAGAGGAUGAUCAGUCACACUGGAACUGAGACACGGUCCAGACUCCUACGGGAGGCAGCAGUGGGGAAUAUUGGACAAUGGGCGAAAGCCUGAUCCAGCCAUGCCGCGUGUGUGAAGAAGGUCUUCGGAUUGUAAAGCACUUUAAGUUGGGAGGAAGGGCAGUAAGUUAAUACCUUGCUGUUUUGACGUUACCAACAGAAUAAGCACCGACUAACUUCGUG
rnacentral:rRNA from 1 species